GCUCCGCAGGCAUUCAGGGGAAAGGGGUGGGGAUGCAGGAAGGAGGCUCAGCCCAGAGGGCGGGGCCAAGAUCCUGAUUGGAGGAAAUCAAGGUGAGCGCGCUGCUACAAACUGGGCCCCUAUUUCUAGUUGGUGGCCAAACAUUUUGCCUGGGGCUGGGCCUGGGGCUGGGCCCGGGGCUGGGCCCGGGGCUGGGCCUGGGGCUUUGCCCGGGGCUGGGUCUAGGGCUGGGUCCAGGGCUGGGCCGCGGACUGGGCCUCGGACUGGGCCUCGGACUGGGCCUCGGACUGGGCCUCGGACUUGGCCUCGGAUUGGGCCGAGGAUUGGGCAGAGGCACGGGCCUACUGAUGGGCCUCCUGCUCGUGCCAGGUCGCCGCCGAGGUCUGCUUUGGCGGUUUCCACAUUCACGCAUCAGCCCGUUCACUGCGUCCGGGAGAAAACAGCUGGCGAGGCUCGGUUCCCCCCCACUCUCCGCCGGGAAGAGCAUGGCUUCGGGCGGCCCUGCGCAGAGAACGCAGAUGUGGACCCUCGGAAAGGAGCAUUCCCAGGAAAAGGAGCCCAAGGGUAGCCUGGUACUGACUGGAUUCCAUGAAACCCCCAACGUGGAUGCCUCCUCUGCAGC
rnacentral:lncRNA from 1 species